rnacentral:rRNA from 2 species
GGUUAAGUUAGAAAGGGCGCACGGUGGAUGCCUUGGCACUAGGAGCCGAUGAAGGACGGGACGAACACCGAUAUGCUUCGGGGAGCUGUAAGCAAGCUUUGAUCCGGAGAUUUCCGAAUGGGGAAACCCACCACUCGUAAUGGAGUGGUAUCCAUAUCUGAAUACAUAGGGUAUGAGAAGGCAGACCCGGGGAACUGAAACAUCUAAGUACCCGGAGGAAGAGAAAGCAAAUGCGAUUCCCUGAGUAGCGGCGAGCGAAACGGGACCAGCCCAAACCAAGAGGCUUGCCUCUUGGGGUUGUAGGACACUCUGUACGGAGUUACAAAGGAACGAGGUAGAUGAAGAGGUCUGGAAAGGCCCGCCAUAGGAGGUAACAGCCCUGUAGUCAAAACUUCGUUCUCUCCUGAGUGGAUCCUGAGUACGGCGGAACACGUGAAAUUCCGUCGGAAUCCGGGAGGACCAUCUCCCAAGGCUAAAUACUCCCUAGUGACCGAUAGUGAACCAGUACCGUGAGGGAAAGGUGAAAAGCACCCCGGAAGGGGAGUGAAAGAGAUCCUGAAACCGUGUGCCUACAAGUAGUCAGAGCCCGUUAACGGGUGAUGGCGUGCCUUUUGUAGAAUGAACCGGCGAGUUACGAUCCCGUGCAAGGUUAAGCAGAAGAUGCGGAGCCGCAGCGAAAGCGAGUCUGAAUAGGGCGAAUUGAGUACGUGGUCGUAGACCCGAAACCAGGUGAUCUACCCAUGUCCAGGGUGAAGUUCAGGUAACACUGAAUGGAGGCCCGAACCCACGCACGUUGAAAAGUGCGGGGAUGAGGUGUGGGUAGGGGUGAAAUGCCAAUCGAACCUGGAGAUAGCUGGUUCUCUCCGAAAUAGCUUUAGGGCUAGCCUCAAGGUAAGAGUCUCGGAGGUAGAGCACUGAUUGGACUAGGGGCCCCUACCGGGUUACCGAAUUCAGUCAAACUCCGAAUGCCGAUGACUUAUCCUUGGGAGUCAGACUGCGAGUGAUAAGAUCCGUAGUCGAAAGGGAAACAGCCCAGACCGCCAGCUAAGGUCCCAAAGUAUACGUUAAGUGGAAAAGGAUGUGGAGUUGCUUAGACAACCAGGAUGUUGGCUUAGAAGCAGCCACCAUUUAAAGAGUGCGUAAUAGCUCACUGGUCGAGUGACUCUGCGCCGAAAAUGUACCGGGGCUAAACGUAUCACCGAAGCUGCGGACUGUUCUUCGAACAGUGGUAGGAGAGCGUUCUAAGGGCUGUGAAGCAAGACCGGAAGGACUUGUGGAGCGCUUAGAAGUGAGAAUGCCGGUAUGAGUAGCGAAAGAGGGGUGAGAAUCCCCUCCACCGAAUGCCUAAGGUUUCCUGAGGAAGGCUCGUCCGCUCAGGGUUAGUCGGGACCUAAGCCGAGGCCGAAAGGCGUAGGCGAUGGAUAACAGGUUGAUAUUCCUGUACCACCUCCUCACCAUUUGAGCAAUGGGGGGACGCAGGAGGAUAGGGUAAGCGCGGUAUUGGAUAUCCGCGUCCAAGCAGUUAGGCUGGGAAAUAGGCAAAUCCGUUUCCCGUGAAGGCUGAGCUGUGAUGGCGAGCGAAUUAUAGUAGCGAAGUUCCUGAUUCCACACUGCCAAGAAAAGCCUCUAGCGAGGUGAGAGGUGCCCGUACCGCAAACCGACACAGGUAGGCGAGGAGAGAAUCCUAAGGUGAUCGAGAGAACUCUCGUUAAGGAACUCGGCAAAAUGACCCCGUAACUUCGGGAGAAGGGGUGCUCUGUUAGGGUGCAAGCCCGAGAGAGCCGCAGUGAAUAGGCCCAGGCGACUGUUUAGCAAAAACACAGGUCUCUGCGAAGCCGUAAGGCGAAGUAUAGGGGCUGACGCCUGCCCGGUGCUGGAAGGUUAAGAGGAGCGCUUAGCGUAAGCGAAGGUGCGAAUUGAAGCCCCAGUAAACGGCGGCCGUAACUAUAACGGUCCUAAGGUAGCGAAAUUCCUUGUCGGGUAAGUUCCGACCCGCACGAAAGGCGCAACGAUCUGGGCACUGUCUCAACGAGAGACUCGGUGAAAUUAUAGUACCUGUGAAGAUGCAGGUUACCCGCGACAGGACGGAAAGACCCCGUGGAGCUUUACUGCAGCCUGAUAUUGAAUGUUGGUACAGCUUGUACAGGAUAGGUAGGAGCCUUGGAAACCGGAGCGCCAGCUUCGGUGGAGGCAUCGGUGGGAUACUACCCUGGCUGUAUUGACCUUCUAACCCGCCGCCCUUAUCGGGCGGGGAGACAGUGUCAGGUGGGCAGUUUGACUGGGGCGGUCGCCUCCUAAAAGGUAACGGAGGCGCCCAAAGGUUCCCUCAGAAUGGUUGGAAAUCAUUCGCAGAGUGUAAAGGCACAAGGGAGCUUGACUGCGAGACCUACAAGUCGAGCAGGGACGAAAGUCGGGCUUAGUGAUCCGGUGGUUCCGCAUGGAAGGGCCAUCGCUCAACGGAUAAAAGCUACCCCGGGGAUAACAGGCUUAUCUCCCCCAAGAGUCCACAUCGACGGGGAGGUUUGGCACCUCGAUGUCGGCUCAUCGCAUCCUGGGGCUGUAGUCGGUCCCAAGGGUUGGGCUGUUCGCCCAUUAAAGCGGUACGCGAGCUGGGUUCAGAACGUCGUGAGACAGUUCGGUCCCUAUCCGUCGCGGGCGCAGGAAAUUUGAGAGGAGCUGUCCUUAGUACGAGAGGACCGGGAUGGACGCACCGCUGGUGUACCAGUUGUUCUGCCAAGGGCAUCGCUGGGUAGCUAUGUGCGGACGGGAUAAGUGCUGAAAGCAUCUAAGCAUGAAGCCCCCCUCAAGAUGAGAUUUCCCAUUCCGCAAGGAAGUAAGAUCCCUGAAAGAUGAUCAGGUUGAUAGGUCUGAGGUGGAAGUGUGGCGACACAUGGAGCUGACAGAUACUAAUCGAUCGAGGACUUAACCAAUUU